UAAGGUGCAUCUAGUGCAGUUAGUGAAUUAGUUUAGAAUCUACUGCGCUAGAUGCUCCUUCUGGC
rnacentral:pre_miRNA from 1 species